rnacentral:rRNA from 1 species
CUACGGGUGGCUGCAGUGAGGAAUAUUGCACAAUGGGGGGAACCCUGAUGCAGCAACGCCGCGUGGAGGAUGACGCAUUUCGGUGUGUAAACUCCUUUUAUAUGUCAAGAAAAUGACGGUAGCAUAUGAAUAAGCACCGGCUAACUCCGUGCCAGCAGCCGCGGUAAUACGGAGGGUGCAAGCGUUACUCGGAAUCACUGGGCGUAAAGGACGCGUAGGCGGGUUGGAAAGUCAGGUGUGAAAUCCUACAGCUUAACUGUAGAACUGCACUUGAAACUUCUAAUCCAGGGUAUGGGAGGGGGAGAUGGAAUUAGUGGUGUAGGGGUAAAAUCCGUAGAUAUCACUAGGAAUACCUAAAGCGAAGGCGAUCUCCUGGAACAUUACUGACGCUAAGGCGUGAAAGCGUGGGGAGCAAACAGGAUUAGAUACCCCGGUAGUC